rnacentral:tRNA from 1 species
GGUGGCUCAGUGAUAGAGCACUUGCCUUGCAUGCAUGAGGUCCUGGGUUCGAUUCCCCAGCACCA